rnacentral:rRNA from 1 species
CAGUCGCCGCGGGAAUACAGAGGGUGCGAGCGUUAAUCGGAUUUACUGGGCGUAAAGCGUGCGUAGGCGGCUUUUUAAGUCGGAUGUGAAAUCCCUGAGCUUAACUUAGGAAUUGCAUUCGAUACUGGGAAGCUAGAGUAUGGGAGAGGAUGGUAGAAUUCCAGGUGUAGCGGUGAAAUGCGUAGAGAUCUGGAGGAAUACCGAUGGCGAAGGCAGCCAUCUGGCCUAAUACUGACGCUGAGGUACGAAAGCAUGGGGAGCAAACAGGAUUAGAUACCCGAGAAGUCCCUGUCUCUUAUAC